rnacentral:rRNA from 1 species
UACGUAGGGUGCGAGCGUUAAUCGGAAUUACUGGGCGUAAAGCGUGCGCAGGCGGUUGUGUAAGACAGGUGUGAAAUUCCCGGGCUUAACCUGGGAACUGCGCUUGUGACUGCACGGCUAGAGUAUGGCAGAGGGGGUGGAAUCCACGUGUAGCAGUGAAAUGCGUAGAGAUGUGGAGGAACACCGAUGGCGAAGGCAGCCCCCUCGGG